rnacentral:rRNA from 1 species
UAAUACAUGCAAGUCGAACGAGCUUCCGUUGAUUGACGUGCUUGCACUGAUUUCAACAUUGAAGCGAGUGGCGAACUGGUGAGUAACACGUGGGAAAUCUGCCCAGAAGCAGGGGAUAACACUUGGAAACAGGUGCUAAUACCGUAUAACAACAAAAACCGCAUGGUUUUUGUUUGAAAGGUGGUUUCGGCUAUCACUUCUGGAUGAUCCCGCGGCGUAUUAGUUAGUUGGUGAGGUAAAGGCCCACCAAGACAAUGAUACGUAGCCGACCUGAGAGGGUAAUCGGCCACAUUGGGACUGAGACACGGCCCAAACUCCUACGGGAGGCAGCAGUAGGGAAUCUUCCACAAUGGACGAAAGUCUGAUGGAGCAAUGCCGCGUGAGUGAAGAAGGGUUUCGGCUCGUAAAACUCUGUUGUUAAAGAAGAACACUUCUGAGAGUAACUGUUCAGAAGUUGACGGUAUUUAACCAGAAAGCCACGGCUAACUACGUGCCAGCAGCCGCGGUAAUACGUAGGUGGCAAGCGUUGUCCGGAUUUAUUGGGCGUAAAGCGAGCGCAGGCGGUUUUUUAAGUCUGAUGUGAAAGCCUUCGGCUUAACCGGAGAAGUGCAUCGGAAACUGGGAAACUUGAGUGCAGAAGAGGACAGUGGAACUCCAUGUGUAGCGGUGGAAUGCGUAGAUAUAUGGAAGAACACCAGUGGCGAAGGCGGCUGUCUAGUCUGUAACUGACGCUGA